rnacentral:tRNA from 1 species
CAAGUCUUUGUAGUACAAUCAAUAUACUGGUCUUGUAAACCAGAGAAGGAGAACAACCAACCUCC